UGGGGAAUUUUCCGCAAUGGGCGAAAGCCUGACGGAGCAAGACCGCGUGGGGGAGGAAGGUUCUUGGAUUGUCAACCCCUUUUCUCAGGGAAGAAGAAAGUGACGGUACCUGAGGAAUCAGCAUCGGCUAACUCCGUG
rnacentral:rRNA from 1 species